rnacentral:tRNA from 1 species
GGGGUUCUGGCUCAGUGGUAGAGUGCUUGUUAGCAUGCAUGAGGCACAGAGUUCAAUCCUCAGCACCACA